UACGUAGGGUGCAAGCGUUAUCCGGAAUUAUUGGGCGUAAAGAGCUCGUAGGCGGUUUGUCGCGUCUGCUGUGAAAACUGGAGGCUCAACCUCCAGCCUGCAGUGGGUACGGGCAGACUAGAGUGCGGUAGGGGAGAUUGGAAUUCCUGGUGUAGCGGUGGAAUGCGCAGAUAUCAGGAGGAACACCGAUGGCGAAGGCAGGUCUCUGGGCUGACACUGACGCUCAUGCACGAAAGGCGUGGGGAGCAAACAGG
rnacentral:rRNA from 1 species